rnacentral:rRNA from 1 species
UACGUAGGGGCCUAGCGUUGUCCGGAUUUAUUGGGCGUAAAGAGCUCGUAGGCGGUUCGGUAAGUCAGGUGUGAAAUCUCCACGCUCAACGUGGAGGCGCCACCUGAAACUGCCGUGACUCGAGUCCGGUAGGGGAGUGUGGAAUUCCUGGUGUAGCGGUGAAAUGCGUAGAGAUCAGGAAGAACACCGGUGGCGAAGGCGCUCUGCUAGGCCGCAACUGACACUGAGGGACGAAAGCUAGGGGAGCGAAUGGG